ensembl:lncRNA
CUGAGAGCUCCUGAGUCAUAGAUGUUUGCAGAAACUGUGGGCUGGACACUGCAGUCAGGGCCAGAGUCGGGCUGGCCUAGAGGGCAGCAGGUGUGUGACCUGGGAGUCCCUCCUGUGCUAUCACCACAUUCCCUUGACAACCGGCAUGCAGGCCUCUCCCUGGGAGGACGGUGUGGUUGCCUUUGCUGGUAGAGGCUCCAGUGGGGCAGUUCUGUGUGCCGCCCUGUAGGUCCUGGAUGUCUGAGGAGCUGAGGCAGUGGCUGGAUAUGGAGUCCCUUCUGCUGGCUGAAAAGGGUCCCCACUCUCUCCUGGGGCUCCAGCCCAUGGCAGAGGAGUUCAGGGCACAGGCUCAGUCGUCGUGGCUCACAGGCUUAGCUGCUCCUUGGCAUGUGAGAUCUUCCAAGAUCAGGAAUCGAACUCGAGUCUCCUGCAUCGGCAGGCAGAUUCUUAUCCACUGUACCACCAGGGAAGCCCAGUCUGACCCAUUUUGUGCAUCCUCCCAGAACUGCACCCUCAGCUCAGAGGAGACUCCGCCUGACCAUCUGAAGUUCAUGGUCCAGAGUGAGUAUGAGAUGUGUGGAGACAUUAGCCUCCAUGGCCUGGCAGUUGGUUAGUCGCUCCCUUGUGUCCGACUCUUUGUGACCCCAUGGACUGGAGACCGCCAGGCUCCUCUGUCCAUGGGAUUCUCCAGGCAAGAAUACUGGAAUAGAUGGCCAUUUCCUUCUCCAGGGAAUCUUCCCGACCCAGGGACUGAACCUCUGUCUCCUGCAUUGUAGACAGAUUCUAUACUGUCUGAGCCACCAGGGAAGCCCAAAUAUAAUGUAAGUGCUAAGUGAAUAGUUGAAGCUGAGUGGAAAAUUCAAGUUUUGGUUUUUGGAAUUUCAUGGAAUUUAGGGCAGGGUGCACUGAUAUCUGUAGAAUAAAUAUGUGACAUUUGACCAAGACACAAG